rnacentral:lncRNA from 1 species
AUGAAAAGAGCUGCAAGGGGAGAGAAGAAGAAAUUGACUCUAAAAUUCGAGGUGAAACUGAGCGGUAAUGAGCCUGGGGCCCCUAUUCAGAUGAUACAUCAAAAGACUCAUCAACAGUGGCAGGUUUACAGAACUCUACUGAGGAAGCUGUGCUUGACUAGGAAGAGGAAGCAGAGAAGAACAAAGUCUGUGAUAAAAAACUGGAAAGGAGCCACAAAAGGCUACAAAAAAACAAGAAAGGCCAUUUUCGAACCAGAUCCUGGUGUGACUGAAAAGCCAGUGUCAUCUGAGGAUUGGCUAAGGACAGGCUGAGAACCUGGCUUCUGACUGCGUACACUGCUGCCCUCUUGUGGACGUGGGCC